AAGCGUUGAAGCGUUGUGUCGUGCCAGUAAGCGGUGCGCGUGGAGCUUUAUCAUGGUUGGAUGGUUCCCAAAAACUGGCGAUGAAAACAUCACUU
rnacentral:sRNA from 12 species